AGUGGGGAAUCUUGCGCAAUGGGCGAAAGCCUGACGCAGCAACGCCGCGUGCGGGAUGACGGCCUUCGUGGUUGUAAACCGCUUUCAGCAGGGACGAAAUUGACGGUACCUGCAGAAGAAGCCCCGGCUAACUACGUGCCAGCAGCCGCGGUAAUACGUAGGGGGCGAGCGUUGUCCGGAAUCAUUGGGCGUAAAGAGCUCGUAGGCGGUUCAGUAAGUCGGGUGUGAAAGCUCCGAGCUCAACUCGGAGAGGCCACUCGAUACUGCUGUGACUAGAAUCCAGUAGGGGAGUGUGGAACUCCUGGUGUAGCGGUGAAAUGCGCAGAUAUCAGGAAGAACACCAGCGGCGAAGGCGGCACUCUGGGCUGGUAUUGACGCUGAGGAGCGAAAGUGUGGGUAGCAAA
rnacentral:rRNA from 1 species